GAUGAACGCUGGCGGCGUGCCUAAUACAUGCAAGUCGAGCGAAUGGAUGAGAGCUUGCUCUCAGAAGUUAGCGGCGGACGGGUGAGUAACACGUGGGUAACCUGCCCUUAAGACUGGGAUAACAUCGAGAAAUCGGUGCUAAUACCGGAUAAUUUAUUUGACCGCAUGGUCGAAUAAUGAAAGGUGGCGUAAGCUACCACUUAUGGAUGGACCCGCGGCGUAUUAGCUAGUUGGUGAGGUAAUGGCUCACCAAGGCAACGAUACGUAGCCGACCUGUGAGGGUGAUCGGCCACACUGGGACUGAGACACGGCCCAGACUCCUACGGGAGGCAGCAGUAGGGAAUCUUCCGCAAUGGACGAAAGUCUGACGGAGCAACGCCGCGUGAGUGAUGAAGGCUUUCGGGUCGUAAAACUCUGUUGUUAGGGAAGAACAAGUACCGUUCGAAUAGGGCGGUACCUUGACGGUACCUAACCAGAAAGCCACGGCUAACUACGUGCCAGCCGCCGCCGUAA
rnacentral:rRNA from 1 species